CGCCGCGACUCGGCCUGUCCCAAUUCGAAGACUCCUUCAAAUGCGGUCGACGAAUGCGGCCUUCUUUUCGCCUGAAUGAAGGAUGGGUCGGGUGUAUCCUUCAAUAGGUAGCAUUUCCCAAGAUGCCUUGCGGGCCGGCCGGCAGAAAAACUUAAAAACAAUGGCGGACAGUGAAGCGGGAGCUGUCGGAGAGGAUUGCGCUUAUAAAUGACCAAAAGAGAAAACCAGGGAAUUUAUUAAGCUUAGGGCGGAGAUGGACCACAUGAUCACCGGAGCAAAGUAUUCGGCGGCUGUGGCAUGGAGACUAUUCUGGAGAAAAUGGGCAUCCAGGGGAAGGUGCCAGCGAUGAGCUUCUGGAGCUGAUCUGGGAGGACAUGAGGCUGCAGAGCAGCAGAGAGCACAGGAGAGAAGGAAGAACUUUGACAGCUUUUUACUUUGCUAGAAAAAAAUGGUUAAUGAAGAUUAAACAUGUACAUGUAAAAGAAAUAUCUAAAUAAAAUCAGUUCUGCAUUAAACUCUUGAAUUUUAUUUUUGUUUACAAAUGAGAAUUGUUUAGGGUAUCCGCUGGGUCUUGAAAAGUCUUAAAAGGUGAUAAAUCGGUUUUGGUCAAAGUAAGACCCUUAGAAAGUAUUAAAAACUAUUAUCACAUCUUUGCUCAGGCUCAGCUAGUCUAAAGUAUUUUCUCUGAAUUAGCUCUCCAACAGUCAAGGAAAUGAUUAACCCCCAGAGACCCACGGUUGUAGUAUUACAACAUCAGAUUUAAGUCUACAAAAAUAAACCUUCCCCAUUUUUUUUCUUUUUAAAACCACAUUUACAUUGCUAAUAGGUCCUAUUGUUCAGUUCUGCAACACUAUUGGCUGUUAAAAUGUGUAAAUAGGCCCGUUUAUCUGGCCUCCUAGAACAACAUGUGAAAGGUUAAAAAAUAUUUUGCAGUUGUUUUCUAAAUUUGGGUUUCUGGGGGUUAAAAAGCUAAAUAAAACGUCGAGCUCCAUCGUUUAAGGUUCCUUCUGCCUUCUGCCCAUCGGUUCCACGGUUGCUAGGCGACGGAACGUUCGCCGAGGGAGUUCAUGAAGGCUAGGCCUGUCCAAAUUCACAGCCGUUAACAUCCGGUCUACCCGGCCGACGGAGGACGCAGCCCACGUCGGCCGGGUGGGCUGGGUCCUUCGAAGGAUGCAGACCCUGAAUUGAGACACAGCCACUGUGAAGCUCCACAGUAACCGAAAACACGUCACCCCCACAGUAGCCGGAAGCACGUGACUAGGGUGUGUACGAAUCCCCGAGCAGGAUGCUUAUGAGUACGGGUCCUCGUCGGUCUAGCAAGGCCGGGUCCUUGCUAGACCGGAACCCAGCGGCUCUGAAUUCGGACAGUCUAGCCUUCACCUCUACGGUGGCCCGUAGGUCCCGUCACAGCCGUGGCGGCAGCUACACGCAAAGGAAAAAUGCUAAAGCUAGCGAAAAUCGAGCAGGAAUAUUGGGUGUGUCCGAAUCCACAGGCAGGAUGCUUAUGAAUACGGGUCCUCGCCGGUCUAGCAAGGCCGGGUCCUUGCUAGACCGCUAAGACCGGAACCCAGCGGCUCUGAAUUCGGACAGUCUAGCCUUCACCUGUACGGUGGCCCGUAGGUCCCGUCACAGCCGUGGCGGAAGCUACACGCAAAGGAAAAAUGCUAAAGCUAGCGAAAAUGGAGCAGGAAUAUUAAGGAGCUACAGCAGCUUCACGUCCAUCAGCAGCGUUUGUUCACAACCGUUUUCAGGUCAGCAUGCACUGUGCUGCACAUCUGCCUCUGUGCUGGUGAAGUUGAGGGUCUGGAGGAUGAGCCUGAGGAAGAUGUGUGUGGAGGAGGUCAGUGGUGCUCUGUCCUGGAGGAGGUACCAGAAAACCACCACUACUACUGUUAACAGGCAAGU